GGCUGGUAAGAAUGCAGUGGUGUUUACAACUCAUUGAUCAUAAACAGUUAUAGAUUUCUUUAUUCCUUCCCCGCUCCCACUGCUUUAUUUGACUAGCCUUUA
ensembl:misc_RNA Y_RNA Y RNA